AUUGAACGCUGGCGGCAGGCCUAACACAUGCAAGUCGAACGGUAACAGGAAGACGCUUGCUUCUUUGCUGACGAGUGGCGGACGGGUGAGUAAUGUCUGGGAAACUGCCUGAUGGAGGGGGAUAACUACUGGAAACGGUAGCUAAUACCGCAUAACGUCGCAAGACCAAAGAGGGGGACCUUCGGGCCUCUUGCCAUCGGAUGUGCCCAGAUGGGAUUAGCUAGUAGGUGGGGUAACGGCUCACCUAGGCGACGAUCCCUAGCUGGUCUGAGAGGAUGACCAGCCACACUGGAACUGAGACACGGUCCAGACUUCUACGGGAGGCAGCAGUGGGGAAUAUUGCACAAUGGGCGCAAGCCUGAUGCAGCCAUGCCGCGUGUAUGAAGAAGGCCUUCGGGCUGUAAAGUACUUUCAGCGGGGAGGAAGGGAGUAAAGUUAAUACCUUUGCUCAUUGACGUUACCCGCAGAAGAAGCACCGGCUAACUCCGUG
rnacentral:rRNA from 1 species